GAUGAACGCUGGCGGCGUGCUUAACACAUGCAAGUCGAACGGGAAACCUUUUAUUGAAGCUUCGGCAGAUUUAGCUGGUUUCUAGUGGCGGACGGGUGAGUAACGCGUGGGUAACCUGCCUUAUACAGGGGGAUAACAACCAGAAAUGGUUGCUAAUACCGCAUAAGCGCACAGGACCGCAUGGUCCGGUGUGAAAAACUCCGGUGGUAUAAGAUGGACCCGCGUUGGAUUAGCUAGUUGGCAGGGUAACGGCCUACCAAGGCGACGAUCCAUAGCCGGCAUGAGAGGGUGAACGGCCACAUUGGGACUGAGACACGGCCCAGACUCCUACGGGAGGCAGCAGUGGGGAAUAUUGCACAAUGGGGGAAACCCUGAUGCAGCGACGCCGCGUGAAGGAAGAAGUAUCUCGGUAUGUAAACUUCUAUCAGCAGGGAAGAUAGUGACGGUACCUGACUAAGAAGCCCCGGCUAACUACGUG
rnacentral:rRNA from 1 species